UACGUAGGGUGCAAGCGUUGUCCGGAAUUAUUGGGCGUAAAGAGCUCGUAGGCGGUCUGUCGCGUCGGAUGUGAAAACCCAGGGCUCAACCCUGGGCCUGCAUUCGAUACGGGCAGACUAGAGUUCGGUAGGGGAGACUGGAGUUCCUGGUGUAGCGGUGAAAUGCGCAGAUAUCAGGAGGAACACCGGUGGCGAAGGCGGGUCUCUGGGCCGAAACUGACGCUGAGGAGCGAAAGCGUGGGGAGCAAACAGG
rnacentral:rRNA from 1 species